CUCUGAGCUACGUCAUGUGGACUCAGCAAAUAGCGGGACUGAUCGUAAUGAUUGUAUUCACAGUUCUUGUCAUCAGAUCCAGAGACUACUGCACGGAAGACUGCAGAUGACACCACAGUGUCAUAGAAAGAUUUUAACAGUGUCCUGAACACACCAAAGGACCUCAGUCUCCUCAACAGAUGAAGACGACUUUGGCCCUUCUUGUACAGGACAUGUUGUUGGACCAGUCCCGUUUAUUGUUGAACACCCAGGUACUAUUAUGUUCCCACCAUAUCAAUAUCCAAACCCUGGAUGUUCACCAUUGAAGUAAGUCUACCACAAUCUACUUUGUCUUGCUGGCAUUACUGUGAAGUUGGUUACGCUCACACCAUGAAGUCAGCAAUGACCUCCAGGUAUUCCAGAUCGUUCCCUUCUGUCCAAAAACGGCAGUAUUGUAACAUCUGAAUCGACAGUGUUGUGUCUUAAGUCUGAUUCUAAGUCUGAUUUUAAGUCUGUUCUCUUUAUGAAUAAUACCUAAUGAUUGAUUUUUCCAAAUCUACCUUUCAUUGUUUCUUAUUUAGUCAUAAAUAUGUAUUGUGAUAUUAAAAUGUGUUUUAACU